CAAAGAAUAGUUUAACUUAAAAUCCUAGCUUUGGGAGCUAGGGAUGGGGGUUAAACUCCCUCUUUUUUGA
rnacentral:tRNA from 1 species